ACGGGAGGCAGCAGUGGGGAAUAUUGGGCAAUGGGCGAAAGCCUGACCCAGCGACGCCGCGUGAGGGAAGAAGGUCUUCGGAUUGUAAACCUUAGUCAACAGGGAAGAAGCAAGUGACGGUACCUGUGGAGGAAGCCACGGCUAACUACGUGCCAGCAGCCGCGGUAAUACGUAGGUGGCGAGCGUUAUCCGGAUUUACUGGGUGUAAAGGGAGCGUAGACGGCAUGGCAAGCCAGAUGUGAAGGGUGGGGGCUCAACUCCCAAGCUGCAUUUGGAACUGUCAAGCUAGAGUAUCGGAGAGGUAAGUGGAAUUCCUAGUGUAGCGGUGAAAUGCGUAGAUAUUAGGAGGAACACCAGUGGCGAAGGCGGCUUACUGGACGAUAACUGACGUUGAGGCUCGAAAGCGUGGGGAGCAAACAGGAUUAGAUACCCUGGUA
rnacentral:rRNA from 1 species